rnacentral:rRNA from 1 species
GGAAACGGUGGCUAAUACCGCAUAAUGUCUACGGACCAAAGCAGGGGCUCUUCGGACCUUGCACUAUCGGAUGAACCCAUAUGGGAUUAGCUAGUAGGUGGGGUAAAGGCUCACCUAGGCGACGAUCUCUAGCUGGUCUGAGAGGAUGAUCAGCCACACUGGGACUGAGACACGGCCCAGACUCCUACGGGAGGCAGCAGUGGGGAAUAUUGCACAAUGGGCGCAAGCCUGAUGCAGCAUGCCGCGUGUAUGAAGAAGGCCUUAGGGUUGUAAAGUACUUUCAGCGGGGAGGAAGGUGAUAAGGUUAAUACCCUUGUCAAUUGACGUUACCCGCAAAAAAAGCACCGGCUAACUCCGUGCCAGCACCCGCGGUAAUACGGAGGGUGCAAGCGUUAAUCGGAAUUACUGGGCGUAAAGCGCACGCAGGCGGUCAAUUAAGUCAGAUGUGAAACCCCCGAGCUUAACUUGGGAAUUGCAUCUGAAACUGGUUGGCUAGAGUCUUGUAGAGGGGGGUAGAAUUCCAUGUGUAGCGGUGAAAUGCGUAGAGAUGUGGAGGAAUACCGGUGGCGAAGG